rnacentral:rRNA from 1 species
UACGUAGGGUGCAAGCGUUAAUCGGAAUUACUGGGCGUAAAGCGCGCGUAGGUGGUUUGUUAAGUUGGAUGUGAAAGCCCCGGGCUCAACCUGGGAACUGCAUCCAAAACUGGCAAGCUAGAGUAGGGCAGAGGGUGGUGGAAUUUCCUGUGUAGCGGUGAAAUGCGUAGAUAUAGGAAGGAACACCAGUGGCGAAGGCGACCACCUGGGCUCAUACUGACACUGAGGUGCGAAAGCGUGGGGAGCAAACAGG